AUUGAACGCUGGCGGCAUGCCUUACACAUGCAAGUCGAACGGUAACAGGUUAAGCUGACGAGUGGCGAACGGGUGAGUAAUAUAUCGGAACGUGCCCAGUCGUGGGGGAUAACUGCUCGAAAGAGCAGCUAAUACCGCAUACGACCUGAGGGUGAAAGCGGGGGAUCGCAAGACCUCGCGCGAUUGGAGCGGCCGAUAUCAGAUUAGGUAGUUGGUGGGGUAAAGGCCUACCAAGCCUACGAUCCGUAGCUGGUCUGAGAGGACGACCAGCCACACUGGGACUGAGACACGGCCCAGACUCCUGCGGGAGGCAGCAGUGGGGAAUUUUGGACAAUGGACGCAAGUCUGAUCCAGCCAUGCCGCGUGCGGGAAGAAGGCCUUCGGGUUGUAAACCGCUUUUGUCAGGGAAGAAAAGGUUCUGGUUAAUACCUGGGACUCAUGACGGGACCUAAAGAAUAAGCACCGGCUAACUACGUGCCAGCAGCCGCAGUAACAC
rnacentral:rRNA from 1 species